ACAGGUAGAGGUGCGGCUGCGAUGAGUAACAGUGCGGAGAACGACCCGUUCAGCGAAACACUGCAAAAGGCAAUGCUGCCGAGAUACGGUCUGUGGUAAAUUCCGUAUCGGCUGUAUGUUUAACAGAUAUGCGGCUGUCAUCAUAUGUGAUGGAGAGCUAUCGG
rnacentral:ncRNA from 1 species